ACAGAGGUCUCAAGCGUUGUUCGGAUUCAUUGGGCGUAAAGGGUGCGUAGGUGGCGUCGUAAGUGGGGUGUGAAAUCCCGGGGCUUAACCCCGGGACUGCAUUCCAUACUGCGGUGCUUGAGGACUGGAGAGGAGACUGGAAUUUACGGUGUAGCAGUGAAAUGCGUAGAGAUCGUAAGGAAGACCAGUGGCGAAGGCGGGUCUCUGGACAGUUCCUGACACUGAGGCACGAAGGCCAGGGGAGCAAACGGGA
rnacentral:rRNA from 1 species